GGCCAGCAGCCGCGGUAAUACGUAGGGGGCAAGCGUUGUCCGGAAUUACUGGGCGUAAAGAGCGCGUAGGUGGUUAAGUAAGUCAGGUGUGAAAGGCCAGGGCUCAACCCUGGGACUGCACUUGAAACUGCUUAACUUGAGGGCAGGAGAGGUAAGUGGAAUUCCUGGUGUAGCGGUGAAAUGCGUAGAUAUCAGGAGGAACACCAGUGGCGAAAGCGACUUACUGGCCUGGCUCUGACACUGAGGCGCGAAAGCGUGGGGAGCAAACAGGAUUAGAUACCCUGGUAGUCCACGCCGUAAACGAUGGGUACUAGGUGUAGGAGGUAUCGACCCCUUCUGUGCCGCAGCAAACGCAUUAAGUACCCCGCCUGGGGACUACGGCCGCAAGGUUGAAACUCAAAGGAAUUGACGGGGGCCCGCACAAGU
rnacentral:rRNA from 1 species